UAUAAGCUGUGUUUCAGAGCUCACAGAGAACAGAGCUGGACAAAGGACAAGACACUGCUGUGAAGGACAAAAAGACAAAAAACCCUCUCCUCACCUGGGAAACCCUCUCCUCACCUGGAAAAACCCUCUAAAAAAGGAGCUCAGGCUAACUGGCCAACAGAAAGUAAGCUGCUGCAUGUGUGCUCUCCCUCCCCCCUCUCACCUUGGAUUUCCACAUUAUGAUCAGCAGGCUAUGGAAGGACCGAGCUGCCUGAACCUAAAUUGACAUGCUGAACAGGAGGAAUCUAAUGACCAGCCCCUGGAUCACCACAAAGGUCGGGACCACAAGUUCUCACCCAAAGCGCUGAGAGCCAACCAGCCCCCCUCUGGUGACUGAAGGCUUUGCUGUCGCCAUCUGCAGUCCAGUCUGAAAGUGCUUUUCACUAUUUUAAAUAAAUUGUGCUUUACUUCUUUUAA